rnacentral:misc_RNA from 1 species
AUUAUGUAUGUUAGUUGUGUUGCAUGAGACUUUAUGCAUUAGCAUGUAGAAGUUGGCUUCACUUAUUCCUGUUAUUAGGAGUGUACUUGAAAUUGGCCAUUACUUAGGCAGAGACAACUAAUGUUUGUUGCAGCCAGCAUCAUAGGAUAGUUAAUUGUUGUUUCUAUUAAGUUCAUGCUUAAUUUGACUUUCAUUGCUGUGCAAACUGCAAAUGUCAUAAUGUCCUUUACAAUUGUUCAUUAUCCUGGAUGUAAGAGCGAG